rnacentral:RNase_P_RNA from 1 species
CGGAGUGCCACAGGCGGCCGCGGGUCGCGCUUGCGCGGCCUGAGGAAAGUCCGAGCUCCAAAGGGCAGGGUGCUGGGUAACCCCCAGCGGGAGCGAUCCCAGGGAAAGUGCCACAGAGAAGAGACCGCCGCGGGCGCAAGCACGCGGCAAGGGUGAAACGGUGCGGUAAGAGCGCACCAGCGGAGGCGGUGACGCCUUCGGCUCGGUAAACCCCACCUGGAGAAAGACCAAAUAGGGGAGGAGAGGUGGCCCGCCUCGCUUGACUCCCGGGUAGGUUGCUUGAGGCGUCCGGUAACGGACGUCCCAGAGAAAUGGUCGCCACGGAGAAAUCCGACAGAACUCGGCUUAUGGGGCACUCCGGCAU